UUUACAAAUGAUUACAAUCAUGCUAGUUACUACUUGAAAAUCAGUAAAAAAUAUUAAUGGGAGACAGAAAUUCUGUGAAGUAGCGGAUGUUAAUAGAUCCAAAGAGAACCAGGUUUUUCAGUACCUAUCAUACCAGAUACAUCUCCCAGUAUUGAAUUAUCUCUGCGCUUUUUGGGGUUUACUUUUCUUUUGCACUACUAUUAGAAGCUUCCUUUGCAUCUUAAACUCUGGGUGAAGUCGCCAUGGAUGAAAGGACCUGCUGAACAACUGAAUACAAUGUCGGUUUCCCUUCUCUCUCGGCCUUCUCCAUCUGUGAACAAUUCUGUUUGCCCUCAGAGUCUCCAGCGUCGAUGGGCUGGCGGUUGCCUCUUUUUGUGUGUGAUGCCUGUUGGAUGAAGUUCUAGGGGGUGUGUAGCCGUUAAAAAUGCGUUUUGACUUAUUCAUAAUUAAUGGAUUGGCAGUUAAUUAUAGAUAGGCAUCACCAUGUGUGCUAAUUAAAUUCUGCUACAGUGAUAAUUAAUCUGACUAGAUUCCCUUUUCACUUCGUCUUAUCAUGACGGUCUGCAGAGAAUACAGUGUGGACUUGCUGCCUGACUCUUCAUGUUUUAAUCCUUCUUCCUUUCUCAGAGGUGUGAGGGUCACCGGGGCCACACUCGUUUCACAGAAAUACCAUGCUGCUGAAUGGGAUGUCAUCGGAUCUCUGUCCCUAAUGAGCCUAAUUAAUUCUUAUCUCCCCAUGGUUCCACAAGGGCAAUAUACUUUGAAGCAAGUGCAGGCGGGGUCCUCCAGUCCACACGUCCACAGGCCAUGCAGCAUUUGACAAGCCACCAGCUCUUCAGCAGUACACAGGAGGUUCAGCACCGAUCACACCAGUGAAUCUUAAGUUUAGAGAAAAAGGCCCUUUGCAGAUGAAGGACGUCUGAUGGGGCCCAACCACAGCUCCCCUCUGCUGCCCCAGAUACCCGGUCUGAAAUUGACCCGCGGCAGCUCCCCUCCCUCCUCGGCGAGUCAGAGGCUCAUCUCCCUCUGCAUGCGACCUGCGCUGCCUCGUGCAGGGCUGUCUGCUCCCAGCUCUGACAGAAAAUCAAUGGCCUGAAGCCCGAGAGACUCAGCACAUGGAUUUCCGAUACACAGCCGUCAAAAACAGAACACAGCACGGUGACAGCUGGGCCUUUGGCGCGGACCUUUCCCCUUUCGAGAGAGGGGUGUGUCGGCGUGCGGGCCGAUCUCACGCCCCUUUUUAGCGCGGCGCUGAAGAGGAGGUCACAUGAAGGCAAGCUCUUUGACCUGAGACACUAGACACACACGCUGGGAGUCAGGAGAACACAUCAAUGAAUUAAAAAAACCCAUAUUGCAAAAAAUGUGUAAGAUGGCUGCACAGACAUUGCAGGCCCAGUGAUACUGUAUGAUAGGAAAUUACAAAUGCAUUAGAUAUUUUUAACCACCUGUU